CUGGGCGUAAAGCGAGCGCAGACGGUUACUUAAGCAGGAUGUGAAAUCCCCGGGCUCAACCUGGGAACUGCGUUCUGAACUGGGUGACUAGAGUGUGUCAGAGGGAGGUAGAAUUCCACGUGUAGCAGUGAAAUGCGUAGAGAUGUGGAGGAAUACCGAUGGCGAAGGCAGCCUCCUGGGAUAACACUGACGUUCAUGCUCGAAAGCGUGGGUAGCAAACAGGAUUAGAUACCCUGGUAGUCCACGCCCUAAACGAUGUCAAUUAGCUGUUGGGCAACUUGAUUGCUUAGUAGCGUAGCUAACGCGUGAAAUUGACCGCCUGGGGAGUACGGUCGCAAGAUUAAAACUCAAAGGAAUUGACGGGGACCCGCACAAGCGGUGGAUGAUGUGGAUUAAUUCGAUGCAACGCGAGGAACCUUACCUGGUCUUGACAUGUACGGAAUCCUCCAGAGACGGAGGAGUGCCUUCGGGAGCCGUAACACAGGUGCUGCAUGGCUGUCGUCAGCUCGUGUCGUGAGAUGUUGGGUUAAGUCCCGCAACGAGCGCAACCCUUGUCAUUAGUUGCCAUCAUUUAGUUGGGCACUCUAAUGAGACUGCCGGUGACAAGCCGGAGGAAGGUGGGGAUGACGUCAAGUCCUCAUGGCCCUUAUGACCAGGGCUUCACACGUCAUACAAUGGUCGGUACAGAGGGUAGCCAAGCCGCGAGGUGGAGCCAAUCUCACAAAACCGAUCGUAGUCCGGAUUGCACUCUGCAACUCGAGUGCAUGAAGUC
rnacentral:rRNA from 1 species